CCGGCACGGGUGAGUAACACGUAUCCAACCUGCCGUCUACUCUUGGACAGCCUUCUGAAAGGAAGAUUAAUACAAGAUGGCACCAUGAGUCCACAUGUUCACAUGAUUAAAGGUAUUCCGGUAGACGAUGGGGAUGCGUUCCAUUAGAUAGUAGGCGGGGUAACGGCCCACCUAGUCUUCGAUGGAUAGGGGUUCUGAGAGGAAGGUCCCCCACAUUGGAACUGAGACACGGUCCAA
rnacentral:rRNA from 1 species